UGUGUUUCCUUUGGACACAGAAUGGCUAACACUGUCUGUGACAUCAUAGAUUCUGUGGGAAGAAGGGAAACCAUGGUUCCUCCUUUGGACUAUAUGAUCAUGGAUACACCAUGGAGCAGUACGAUAGACACUGUGUAACUACACAAUACAGAGAAACAUCUGUCCAUCUGGCAGUUCUUCUGUAGGAACAUUUGGCUGAGAGCAGAUGGUUUAUGGGUUGUGUAACAUGCUGGGAAGAAGAAAAAUAUAUAUACAAUCUUGUCGUGCUUCUAGAACAUCAAAAGUACUCUUUAGUCUCUAAAGUGCUCAAGAACAGCACGGGCAAUCACAGCCAAAUAGACAAAUGGGAUUACAUCAAGCUGAGAAGCUUCUCCACUGCAGAAGAAACAACAAAGUGAAGAGGGAACUUAUAGAAUGGAAGAAAACAUUUGCAAACUAUGAAAUUGAUAAAGGAUUAAUACCCAGAAUCUACACAGAGCUCAAGAACCUCAACAACAAAGCAAUCCAGUUGAGAAAUGGUCAAAGAACUGGAUCAGGAAUUUUUCAAGAGAGGAAACUCAAAUGGCCUACAGACACAUGAAAUAAAAUGUUCAGGAUCACUAACCAUCAGGGAAUUGCAAAUCAAAACCACAGUGAGGCCUUACCUCAGCUCUGUUAGAAUGGUACUGCUACAGAAAUCAACAAACACUCAAUUCACAAUAAGAUAUCGGAUCAACCAGAUGUCCAUCAACUGAUGACUGGACAAAGAAAUUAUGGGCUAGUCAUCACGUUUACACAACCAUUUGCUACACCUCAAGAAUAACUGAAGAUAUUUUAUAUACAUGGGGUCUCUCAAAAAUUUUAUGGAAAACAGAUAUCAUGAACAUUAGUUUUAAUUUUUGAAACAUUUUGAAGUAUCUGUUCUUCCUGUUGCUCCUAUAUUACUUAAGUAUAAAAUAACAAGUAAAUAUGUGAUUAUCAAUAGUUUUAUAAUAUAUCAAUUUACUUCCAUAAGAGACACAACUCAGAAAUGAAGACGAAAUCAAACUGGUAAAAGGCCCAGAGGUCCCCAGACAUGAAAUAUCAAUCCAAGCAAGGGCUUAGGAAAUAAAAGUAGGAAUUUGUGUUUAGAAACUAAGAAAAUGGUAAAGGCAUCAGAUUCUUGGCACAGAAAACCCAAUUAUCCUACUUUUAUAAUUUAUAUAAUAUUUGGACAGAUGAAACAAUCACACAUUGAGGUGUGAAAAUGUAAACCAGAAACUGAAUUUGAUGUAAAGAUCCUACAACUUGGAAGUCAGCAGCAAGGAGCACCGAUGGGUGAGCUCUCUGUGAACAGGUUCUGGGUACACUUGCUUUUCUCCUUUUCCUCUUCCAAUGAUAUCAGAAAGUCCUCAGAGAUGAGGGUGACAUGGACCUAUGGGCUAAUUAGGAGCUCUGUGCCUUGUGCACACCCCCAUCCCGAGUCCUACAAGUGCAAAUAAUGAGCCAGUGACUUCAGAACUUGACUUGCCAGACAAACGCAGUGGCUCUCUACUCAUGUCUGGUCCUCUGGAACAUCUGUGUGUCAGGAGGCCCAACCUGUCUGUAUUCCUCCCACCCCUGAGUACAGAACCUGAGGCUUCCCCGCAUACCAGGCAAGAAGCAAACAGUGGACCCAGCUCUUUCUGCCAUGCUUCAGUGAGUGCUGAGGGACACAGUGGAAGGAGGUGGGAAUAUCAGCCUUGAUCUCCACAUCUUUGGGACAAACAGAACAAUUGGAGUAGAUGGAUGGGAAGGAACCAGUGGGCAAAGUUCCAGCUUAGAUAAUUGUGAAGUUCACGUUCUUGGUUCUCAAGGGUCUCAACUUAUUGAGCAUUUUUCUUUCCUUCCACACUGAUUCUGCUCACUAGAAUCUUCUUCUUGAUAGGAGCAAAUGAGUCUCUGAAUUUCCGAGCACUCACACGUAAUCAUGAAGGUGAGGAGGAGGAGGAUGCAGUAACCAUAAAGUCUCCAACCUUACUGAGGGCUUCCUAUGGGCCAGGCUCUGAAUUCUAUGUCCUAUUCAACCUGCUUCUUCUCAUCUAUGUACUCCCCCACAUUAUGUUGCAGAUGCUACUUUUGUUUUACAGAAGAGGAGAGGAGCACAAUGUUUUUUGCAACUUGUACCAGGCUGUGAUGUAGAAAUGGGUGAAACCACAACCGAGUCAGGUUGUCUGACUGCAGACACGAGCAUGCCCAGUCUCCCUCUGACAACCCAUCCAUUCAUCUCUCUUUCCUGUCACUCCAGGCUGACAGCCCUGCUCACCGUGCUUUGUCUUUGGGGUUUCUUGGUAAAUCACAGCAGGCAGCAGUGGGACAAGGUGACUGAGCUCACAGAGAGAGCAGACAUGGGAUCAGAGUCUCUCUCUCUCCACCCCACCCCACACUUCAGUCAUCCACUUUCUCCCCAACUCUUGUAAUCACCUCAUUUGAUCUCAAAGAGAGACAAGAUUGGGGUCUUGGGUUCCAUUUCUACUGCCAAAACUGGGAACGAUUUUAAAGGAACUUGUAUAACCUGUGGUUUGGAUCUCUGGUGCUCUAACACUCCCUGAUGGUUGGGAGAAAAUGGGGGUCUUUGAUAAAUUGGAUCCAGAGACUUUCAAUGUCAUUUUGACUCCUGCCUGCUCCACUGAUGAUUUCUUUGAUGUAGGGCAGGUUGUCAGUACCCUGAGAAUCUGCGUUGUCAUCUGAGAUGAUGCCUCAUUGAUAGCACUUCACUGGGUAAUUUUUGAACUGAUAAUAGAUACAUCCCAAUCAUCCAAAAUCAUUUUGGAGCAUAGACAUACCCUCACAAACGUAUUUGCUGUGUAUUUGCUGAAGAACUGUCUUUCAUUUCAGAUUCCUCAGACACUAAUCUGUUGCUUGGCACAGAGGAGGCAUC